rnacentral:lncRNA from 13 species
GAUCAUAAGCUAUUGCUGAAAAAAAGUAUUUGCAUUAUCUGCAUUAUUAUGGAUUGUGGGUUACCUAUCAAAUAGAACACAGAGUUACUUAUCUAAUAGAACACAGAGUAACCUAUCUAAUAGAACACAGAGUUACCUAUCUAAUAAAACACAGAGUUACCUAUCUAAUAAAACACAGAGUUACUUAUCUAAUAGAACACAGAGUAACCUAUCUAAUAGAACACAGAGUUACUUAUCUAAUAAAACACAGAGUUACCUAUCUAAUAGAACACAGAGUUGCCUAUCUAAUAGAACACAGAGUUACCUAUCUAAUAGAACACACAGUUACCUAUCUAAUAGAACACAGAGGCUUACCUAUCUAAUAGAACACAGAGUUACCUAUCUAAUAAAACACACAGUUACCUAUCUAAUAAAACACAGAGUUACUUAUCUAAUAGAACACAGAGUUACUUAUCUAAUAGAACACAGAGUUACCUAUCUAAUAGAACACAGAGUUACCUAUCUAAUAGAACACAGAGUUACCUAUCUAAUAGAACACAGAGUUACCUAUCUAAUAGAACACAGAGUUACCUAUCUAAUAACACACAGAGUUACCUAUCUAAUACAACACAGAGUUACCUAUCUAAUAAAACACAGAGUUACUUAUCUAAUAGAACACAGAGUUACCUAUCUAAUUACCUAUCGAAAACUUCAAUAAGCAUUUCUCAACGGCUGGCCAUGCCUUCCGCCUGGCUACUUCAACCUCAGCCAACUCUGCUGCCUGUGACUGGAACGAAUUGCAAAAAUCGCUGAAGUUGGAGACUUUUAUCUCCCUCACCAACUUCAAACAUCAGCUAUCUGAGCAGCUAACCGAUCGCUGCAGCUGUACAUAGUCUAUUGGUAAAUAGCCCACCCAUUUUCACCUACCUCAUCCCCAUACUGUUUUUAUUUAUUUACUUUUCUGCUCUUUUGCACACCAAUAUCUCUACCUGUACAUGACCAUCUGAUAAUUUAUCACUCCAGUGUUAAUCUGCAAAAUUGUAAUUAUUCGCCUACCUCCUCAUGCCUUUUGCACACAUUGUAUAUAGACUCCCCCUUUGUUUUCUACUGUGUUAUUGACUUGUUAAUUGUUUACUCCAUGUGUAACUAUGUGUUGUCUGCUCAUACUGCUAUGCUUUAUCUUGGCCAGGUUGCAGUUGCAAAUGAGAACUUGUUCUCAACUAGCCUACCUGGUUAAAUAAAGGUGAAAUACAAAAAAUAAAAAUAAAAUAGAACACAGAGUUACCUAUCUAAUAGAACACAGAGUUACCUAUUUAAUAGAACACAGAGUUACCUAUCUAAUAACACACAGAGUUACCUAUCUAAUACAACACAGAGGGUUUUCAUUAAUGGAAGCCUCUCUCAUGCAAAUUCAGUUGAAUGUAGUGUACUGCAGGGCAGCCUGCCAGAGACAUUUUUUUCUUCUGAUUUUACAAAUGACCUUCCACUGAUCUUGAAUAAGAGUCUGUGUGUCUAUGUAUGCUGAAGACUCAACAGUAUACACGUCGGCUGCAACAGUAAAACAAACAACCCUUAACAUAGAGCUCCAGUGAGUUUUAGAAUGGGUCAUUAGCAAUAGGCUGGUGUUUAAUAUGUCAAAAACUAAAAGCAUCAUUUUUGGGACAAAUCACUCGCUCAAUGUUAAACCUCGUUUAGAUCUAUUAUUGAAAAAUGUGGCUAUUGAGCAAGUUGAAGAGACUAAACUCCAUGGGGUAACCCUAGAUAUCAAGCUUUCAUGGUCAAAACAUAUAUCAAUGGCUGCUAAAAUGCAAAGAGAUCUGUCCAUGGUAGGAUGUUGCUCUGCCUUCUUGACAUCUCAGUUGACUAGGCAGGUCCUACAGACCCUAGUUUUGCUGCACCUGAACUACUGGCCAACUGUGUGGUCAUGUGUGGCAAAGAAGGACAUAGGUAAAUUGUAGUUGGUCCGGAACAGUAGCACAUAUCACACUUAAAUGUGAACAGAGGGAAAGUGUCAGUAACAUGCAUGUAAGUCUCUCCUGGCUCAAAGUUGAAGAGAGAUUGACGGCAUCACUAUUGGUCUUUGUGCGAGGUGUUGAAGGUACUGCACUGUCUGUUCAAGCAGUUGGCACACAGUUCGGACACUCAUCUGUACAACACACGACAUGCAAUCAGAGGUCUCUGCACAGUCUCCAGGUUCAGAACAGAGGCUGGGAAACACACAGUAUUAAAUAGAGCCAUAACUAGGAAUCUUCCAUCCCAAGUAACUCAAUCUAGCAAUAAAACAGUUUCAAAAAACAGAUAAAAUAACACCUUACUGCACAAAGGGGACUGUGAAGAGACAGACAUUUUAUAUAUAUUGUGGAGUGAGUUUUACAGUAAUAUGUACAGUACCAGUCAAACGUUUGGACACACCUACUCAUUCAAGGGUUUUCUUUAUUUGUACUUUUUUCUACAUUGAAGAAUAAAUGUGAAGACAUCUAUGAAAUACUGUAACGGCCGUCAUCGGUGGAAGAAGGUGAGGACCAAGGUGCCACGUGGUAAGUGUUCAUGAUUUUUAAUAUAAUCAAACUGAACACUAAACAAAACAACAACUAGGAAGAACAAACAAACGAAACAGUCCUGUCUAGUGAUGACACACAAAACAGAAAAUAAACACCCACAAAACACAGGUGGAAAAAGGCUACCUAAGUAUGAUUCUCAAUCAGAGACAACUAACAACACCUGCCUCUGAUUGAGAACCAUACCAGGCCAAACUCAAAAACCAACAUAGAAAAACAAACAUAGACUGCCCACCCCAACUCACGCCCUGACCAUACUAAAACUAAAACAAAACAAGGGAACUAAGGUCAGAACAUGACAAAUACAAAACUAUAAAAUAACACAUAUGGAAUCAUGUAGUAACAAAGAAAGUGUUAAACAAAUCAAAAUAUAUUUUAGAUUUUAGAUUCUUCAACCUAGUCACCUUUUGUCUUGAUGGCAGCUUUUUUGCACACUCUUGGCAUUCUCUCAACCAGAUUCAUGAGGAAUGCCUUUACAACAGUAUUGAAGGAGUUCCCACAUAUGCUGAGCACGUGUUGUUGGCUGCUUUUCCUUCACUCUGCGGUCCAACUCAUCCCAGACCAUCUCAAUUGGGUUGAGGUCGGGUGAUUGGGGAGCCUGGUCAUCUGAUGCAGCACUCCAUCACUCUCCUUGGUCAAAUAACCCUUACACAGCCUGAAGGUGUGUUUUGGUUCAUUGUCCUGUUGAAAAGCAAAUAAUAGUCCCACUAAGUGCAAACCAGAUGGCAUGGCGUAUCACUGCAGAAUGCUGUGGUAGCAAUGCUGGUUAAGUCUGCCUUGAAUGUCGCCGCUUCACUGUUGACGUUGAGACUGGUGUUUUGCUGGUACUAUUUAAUGAAGCUUCCAGUUGAGGACUUGUGAGGCGACUCCGGGGCCUCCCACUCCUCUUUCUAUUCUGGUUAGAUCCAGUUUGCGCUUUUCUGUGAUGGGAGUAGUACACAGCAUUGUACGAGAUCUUCCGUUU